CUGAAACAAUUUCUUAAUAAUAAUGUUGCAAUUGAUUCAAAACACAUUGGGUUAGAACAUUCUAUAUUGUUUAUAACACCCAAUGUAACUGGAAACAUUUUACUCGAACUAAAGUUGCGUAAGAUCCUAACUAAAAAAAAUACUGAAGUGAAGCCUUGUAGCAAGAUGUAAUUUUAUUUCACAAACAAUAACACUAUGAAAAAAUAGUUUUCAACCACCAGUAACAGUUUUCUAAAAAUAUACUUGCCAAGUCAGAAAAAUAUUUGGUUGAACUGUAAUUCAGAAACGGUAAAGUGUAUUACUCAAAAGUGGUAUGGCCAAUGUUCAUCAAACUUGGCACAUAGUUUGUACUUAAUCUUAAUGUUAGGCAUUAAAAAUUUACUAAUAAUUUGUUUCUCUGUUUAUCACAGCUAUGCCCUCAACCUCAUCAACCUACCCACAGCUCAAUAUCACUCCUAACUUUCAACCUCAACUUCAAGCAAUCCCAGCAUUUUUACAAUACCAAAUGAAUUGUCAUUAAAUUUUUGUGUUUGUCUUAUAUUUCCUGUUUUUUAUUAUUUUGUUUUUGGUUAUUUUAGCUUCGUGCAUUUGCUCAUUUUGAAAUUGUUAAUUAAAUUUCUCUGUAUACCUUA